rnacentral:rRNA from 1 species
AUUGAACGCUGGCGGCAGGCCUAACACAUGCAAGUCGAGCGGAUGAAGGGAGCUUGCUCCUGGAUUCAGCGGCGGACGGGUGAGUAAUGCCUAGGAAUCUGCCUGGUAGUAGGGGAUAACGUCCGGAAACGGGCGCUAAUACCGCAUACGUCCUGAGGGAGAAAGUGGGGGAUCUUCGGACCUCACGCUAUCAGAUGAGCCUAGGUCGGAUUAGCUAGUUGGUGGGGUAAAGGCCUACCAAGGCGACGAUCCGUAACUGGUCUGAGAGGAUGGUCAGUCACACUGGAACUGAGACACGGUCCAGACUCCUACGGGAGGCAGCAGUGGGGAAUAUUGGACAAUGGGCGAAAGCCUGAUCCAGCCAUGCCGCGUGUGUGAAGAAGGUCUUCGGAUUGUAAAGCACUUUAAGUUGGGAGGAAGGGCAGUAAGUUAAUACCUUGCUGUUUUGACGUUACCAACAGAAUAAGCACCGGCUAACUUCGUG